GGAAACCGCUGGGGCAGAUUAUAACUAUCCCAACUGGCCAUCAUUCCCGGCCCCAGAUGAUUUUUAAAAAUUCGUUGACUAUGCAUGUAACAUAUAUGUAUCCAAGUCUCACCUGUAUCAGUUACAAUUACCAUUUGAGCCCAAAUCCCUAUUUCUAUUGAUGGACUAUCAAACCCUUUUCUAUCUCACCACCAAAACCCUAGUUUUGUCUAAAAAAUGGCGGAUCAGAUCGAGCUCAAUCGAACCUCUCUUCCCCUUCCCUAUCAGCUUCAGGCGAAGAGGAAGGGCUCCGGAGUGAGGACCUGGUUUGUCGUCUCAAAAUUGGGGAACUCUCGAAUUGAAGAGCUUGGGAAGCAAGCGAUCAUUCUGAGGAGUGGAGUUCAGGCUCAUGAUUUGAGGGUUUUUGAACCAGAGCUCUCGAACCCCUCUGCCAUUCUCCGAAGGGAGAGGGCUAUUGUUGUGAACUUGUAACAUAUUAAAGCGAUUAUAACUGCGAAUGAAGUUCUGGUACCAAACCCUAAAGACCCUUUUAUGGGUUCAUUUGUUUGUGAUCUCGAAUUCAAGCUCUCUGAUUUUGGUGCCAAUAUGGUAAGCAAUAAAGCUAUGGAGCAAUCACUCUCUAAUAUGCCACCAGAGGCAAGUGAUAGGAGUCAUAAAUCACCAACUGAAUGGUCAAAUAGGGGCAACUCAAAGCCAUUACCAUUUGAGUUCAGAGCUUUUGAGAUUUGCCUAGAAUCUGUCUGCAGGAGCCUUGAAUCUGAGACUUCCACAUUAGAAGAAGAAGCAUAUCCGGCUUUAGAUGAGCUAUCAGCUAAAACCAGUACGCUUAAUCUCAAACACGUGAGAGUCAUAAAAGGUCGUUUGGUUGCUUUGUCUGGGCGUGUGCAGAAGGUGAGGAGUUUGAACAUCUACUGGAUGAUGACUUAGAUAUGGCUCAAAUGUACUUGACUGAUAGGCUUGCCACCUUGCAAUCUGAAGGUUUAGAAGAUGAACUAGAGAAUGAUGCAAAUGCAUUUAAAUCGGGCAAUGAUAGGUUUGAUCUUGAUUUUGCCCGAUAAAUCUCAUAGUCUAAUUUGAACCCUGUCUAGUGAUGAGGACAUGAGCGGCAAAAGCAGUAAUAUAGAUGUAAGUGAUCUCAAACCAAAUGUUGAAGAGUUGGAAAUGCUAUUGGGAGCCUACUCUGUGCAAAUAGAAGGAAUAUUAAACAAACUAUCGACACUGCGCGAAUACAUCCACAACACAGAGGACUACAUCAACAUCGUAUUGGAUGACAAACAGAAUCAACUCCUGCGAAUGGGCAUAAUUAUUACUACAGGAGCUGUGAUGCUCAACUCAGGGGUUGUGGCUUUAGGUUUCUUGAGCACUAACAUCAACAUUCCUCUCUUUACUUCUGGAACCUUUGUACAGUAGUGUGGGGCUGCUAGGGGUAUAAUUGCUUGUUCGAUUGCUUUAUUUGCCAUAAUCAUCCUAUUGUUCAAAUGGUUAAAGCUUCUUGGUUGAGGACUAACUAACUUCUCAUGAGUGGUCAGAUACAACAAUAUCUGCUACAAAUAUAUCAUUAUCUAUCUCCAAAUCAGAUACAAUUAAAUAAUCUUUGGAUCUUGUGUAUCAUAUAAGAGGGUAUGUUUAGUGACAUAUGUGAAGCCUCUAGCAUAUUUUGAAUUUUUUUUUUCUUUUCCUUCUCUGUACUGAGGUUAUGUAUGUAAAAUGAUAUCAAACCCAUAACUAAAAUAUCUAA